rnacentral:tRNA from 1 species
AGCUUUAUAGUCACAGUGUGAUAUUAGACUGCAAUUCUAAAGGGGUAAAUUUUAAUUUACUAAGGCUU